UACACCAUUUUCUUGAAGAUUCCUGGAAGUGUAUGCAAAUUACUGUAUGUUUAAUAUACAGAUUGUACAAAUGACAGCAUUUGGUGGUUCGGCGAAGAAGGAGGCGAGAGCAAAAAGGCAACUGAUUCCAACGGAGCUAGCAAGAUUUCAAACAAAGAAACUUAGGGUUUCUUGCUUUCUUCCCCACUUCUAUUUCAAUAUCCACGUCGUUUUUCUCACAGGAGAAUCCAAUAAUUCACCCGACAAAGGGAGAAAGAGGAGGCGACCAAAGGAGACCGUAGACCACCGAACAUCGCCACUCAGGUUAGAGCUAUCAAAAUCCAUCACCUUCUACUAUAUUGAAGCAUUCAAAGACGAUUUUAGAACACGAUAUGUCUUCAUCUUAAGCAUUCAUCAUAUUCUUCCAAUUUUCUUCAGCUAAAAUCAUGAUUAUACUUCUGCCUGUCUUUAUUUAUCUGGAAUUUUAUGUUUUGGGGUUCAAAUCGUAGGAAAAUGGUAAAGCAGAAGCAUAAUCGAGAAAACUUUAGUAACUGUAGUGUGUUUGAGUUGUGCUGGUGAUGGUGGUCCUGGUAAAAAAAUAGAAGAUGAUGAGCAGGCGAGUUUGAAGCGCUUAUGAACUCAAACAUCUGUUUCUUAAUAAUGCACAUCACCCAUUCCUUAGAACCUUCAUACAUGCUAAGAAAACAAAAAUGUAAAUAUGGAGAUAUUUGUUCUUCAUCAAUCUUAGUUUCGAACCGAAUGUAUCCCUACACCUGCUCAAUGGGAGGAUAAUAUGGAAGGUCACUGACGUUGCAUAUGGCACCUCUUUCCUUGAGGUUUUUAUCACAAGGAAUAGGAAAGGAGAAAACAAACAUCAGGUCAUUUUAUAUAUUUAUGUCAGAUUUUGUUAACUUUUUUUAUGUGAUUCUUGACUUAUUUUACCAUGUGAUUGAAUUUGCAUGAGCAGAUUUGCGUUUGGAAUUGAAAGGAAAUCAUCUUCAAGCAAAUUAAAUAUUUGUUUCCAUAUAAUAGUGUCUCUUAGAAAAGUAUUCAAGUCACGUCUAUGUUGCUUGCGAUGCUUCAACAUAUCUUCAAUUAAUUCUUUCUUCUUUGUUGGAAUUGGCAGAACUAAUUAGUAGCCAGGGUAGUUCAUUCAUUCGUUUCUAGAGUCCUCUAUAUUUAAGAAUGCUCACCACAUGUUUGUGAAAUUGCAGAAACUUAUACCUACUGUGGUGGUGACAAUGAUGACGAGAAUCAGGGGUUGGGUUUGGAUUCUUGCUUCCAAUUCCAUGUUUAGUUUGCAAAAUUGCAUCUAAGUCAAGAGAAUUACGAGUCGGGUUUGCACUUUGCCUCUAUCAUCAUAUAGCUACUCGAAAGUUCUUCUCUAAUUAACAGUUUAUAUGAGGGGUCUUUUGUGACAUCCCCAAUUUUACGGCCAGAAAAUACCGGUUUAAUUUAUGCUUUUAAAAUAAUUUCAGAGUAAUCAUUUGAUUAAAAAUGUUGCGGAAUUUGUUCUCAGAAAAACAUGAUAAAUAUGUUAUCAAAUCAUUUCCGAAGAAAUGUAUUUUAUUCACUUAAACCAUUGGGAUGUCAUUGUCAAUACAAAAACAUAAGCAUAAACAAAACUUACAUUCAUUUACACUAGUGAUCUACUUCUCUUUUAAUCUCUCAGUGUAAAGCAACUUCGUAUCGAUACCUAUGAUACAAUUAAACUGAGUGGGUCAGGCUUGGGAGCCUGGUGAGCAUAUAGGGUUUUCACCCCACAAUAAAUAAAUUUAUUAUGCUUAAACAUCAAACAAUCAACCCAAUUACCCAAUCCCCAUUAUCUUAUUCAUUUCUUUAGGAUUUACCUUAAGAAUCAACUAUCACUCAUUCCUAAGGAUUCAUCUUAAGGAAUAGGCACGAAGUCCAUCGCUUCCCAAGGUUUAUAUUACGAGCACUAACAACAUCGAUCCCCACAUACUCAUCCUAUACAAUGAUCUUACUAGAUCUAGCCUAAAGGAUCGAUAUGAACAACCAACUAACGAAACUGCUUCGGAAAUUCCCUAGCAGCAAACGAGGAUUGAAGAAGACAUCAAAUUAAUGGAAUAAGUUUAACCACGAACCUUUGUUCGUAAAAAAAAGAACCACCAAACAAUUAAGUCAGGGGUAAUUAUUAAUGCCUAGGCUGUGGUCUGAAUAUCGUGAGGUAUGUAACUCCCAGACGCACCCUAUCCAACAUCGAACUUUGCCUAGGCUCUGGUCUGAAUAUCUUGAGGUAUAUAACCCCCAGAUGCACCCCUAUCCGGCAUCGAGAAUGGAAACACUAACUCAUGAAGCUCGUCUGAUCACUUCAUAAAAGAAACAAAGACUCCAAAGCUCUUCAAAAUAAAAGUAUAGGGAAAAUACUAAUAAAGUAUUCCCGUACGCUCCCAUACCCCGACACGUAAUAGUGUCAAAAAGAAGAACUAAUGGAUGAACGCAUAGUUCAAAAACACCUAAUGAACAUAUAGUUCGAGAACACCUUAUGAACAUAUAGUUCAAACAUACCUACCGAUUACGAGUCUGCUAACGUUCCACUGGACUAUCUAAAGUAGUCUGUGGCCGUUGUCUAUCCUCUGCUAUAUGACUAGAUCAUCUUAAACAUCGAUACCUCUCAUCACUUUUAUUUCAUCACACAUCAUCUAAUUCAUCUACCUAUGUUUUACCCAACAUAUUUGUAGAUAAAAAUACAUAUACAAUUUAAAACUUGUAUAAAACAUUUAUUCAACAGUCACCUUAAUUAAACGAUUAAUAUAAUUACACUUAUCACGUGUUUUAAAGAAAAUACUUCAUAUAUAUGUGUAAGGUGAAAGUGACUAUACACUCACAUGAUUUAACGAUAACCAGGCAGCAGUUCGUUGCCUAAAACGAUAGUUUCUAAUAAAACCGGGAGUUUUAUUGAGAAACCGGGCUCUGCGAGGGUCGGGCUUCGAAACUGAAAAAAUAAAUUUCUCGGGCUUCUCGGGCACUCCGGGAUGUGUUCCGGGCGUUGGAAAUGAUCUCGGGGCUUCGGGGGAUGUGGAAAUAGCCAAAAUAUUGAAAAAGGGGUGAAAAAUGAGAAUUUUCCAAAAGUAGUCAGAAGAUCUCGCAACCCUUCUAUUUAUAGGGGAGAUCCAAAGGUCGGCUGAGAAGGUGAGUCAGCAGCGAGGGCAGGUGGCAUCAGGAGGCGAAGGCACGUGGUCGGAUCCGGAGGAAGACACGCGUCGGACACGUCUCGCAUGAGAGGGCUCGCCACCUAGGCACACGCGUCGGAUCCUUAUUGGACCACUUCAGACCUGUCAAUAGAUCAGAACACGGGGCGACACGCGGCCUGCUCCGGUUGGGCCUCCCUUUGGUCGAAUCCGGAAGCGACACGCGGCUACUUUUCAUGUGAGGUGACUCAUCAAUUUCGGACACAUGGCACGUUUUGAGUGAGGGUGACGUGGCUUUUCCAGGUGAAGCUUAUCUAUGCGAAAUUUCUCGAAUUUUGUGCCAAAAUCUUCUAAAAUUCAUAACUUUCGCAUACAAGCUCCGUUUUUGACGUUCUUUAUAUGCACGCGUAGGUAAAAUUACGCUAUACAACUUUCGUUUAGAUUUCGUCGGCUAAUUUUGACUUUAAUUUUUAUAUUAUUAUUUUUAACAGACCAGGACAGACAAUUCGUUAAAAAUUCAUAACUUCUUCAUCCGACGUCCAUUUUUGUCUGUCUUUUUACCGUUGUACUACUAUUCAAAGAUAAAGAACUCAAACUUUUCGUCGAGAGCUGCCAAUCCAACCCUUGGUAUUAGUUGCUUGCAUGUGAUAGGUAUGAUUUCUUCAACUUUAAAUUUUGGGGAUUUCUACCACUUGCAGUAUGUUAAAAUGUAUAACAUAUUCAUGGUCCAGUUGUAGGUAUGUGAGAAAACCUUUUUAUGUUUUUUUUACUGUUGUGGAUGAACUUCUAGUCGGCGUCCACUAGGUAUUCGAUGAAAUGCCUAGGUCGCUUCUUCUGUUUUGUUAUCAUCACUUUACCUAAAACUAUGCAUCUUUAUAUUAUAUCAUUUUUGAAUUUGAAUUACACAAUAGUUUUAUACUUUUAUUGCUUUAAAAGCCACUUUAUUGAUCAUCUUUCUUAUAUAAUUCAAGAACUUUGGGCUUUUGUUUAACUUUUGUUGUCCAUACCUUUUGGGAGACAAGAAAUGGUAAGAUUUCAUUUAUUUUCUUUUUGUUCUUAUUGUUAUGUUAUUUACUUAUUUAUAUCUAUUUUCUUUUCAGUUUUAAGGAAAAGUAUGA